rnacentral:rRNA from 1 species
CAGUAGCGUAUAUUAAAGUUGUUGCAGUUAAAAAGCUCGUAGUUGGAUUUCUGGCAAGGCAGAGCUAACCUGGCACUAUGUGUCGUGUGUUGGACUCGGUCUGCCAUCCUUCCAGAAAAGCACUAAACCAUUCAUUUGGCCUUGGUGUCGAUCUGGGACUUUUACUUUGAAAAAUUAGAGUGUUCAAAGCAGGCGUUACGCCGUGAAUACAUUAGCAUGGAAUAAUAAUCUAGGACUUCAGUUCUAUUUUGUUGGUUUCUAGGACCGAAGUAAUGAUUUAUAGGAGUAGUUGGGGGUUGGCUAGUAUUCUAGCGGCCGACGAGGUGGAAAUUACUUUGGUAUUCGCUGAAGACUAACUUAUGCGAAAGACAUUCACCAAGG